CCUACGGGAGGCAGCAGUCGGGAAUAUUGCGCAAUGGAGGAAACUCUGACGCAGCGACGCCGCGUGCAGGAAGAAGGUUUUCGGAUUGUAAACUGCUUUAUACAGGGAAGAAAAAAGACAGUACCUGUAGAUUAAGCUUCUGCUAAAUACGUGCCAGCAGCCGCGGUAAUACGUAGGGAGCAAGCGUUAUCCGGAGUUAGUGGGUGUAAAGGGUGCGUAGACGGGGAAGCAAGUUAGUUGUGAAAUCUCUCGGCUUAACUGAGGAACUGCAACUAAAACUACUUGCUUUGAGUACUGGAGAGGAAAGUGGAAUUCCUAGUGUAGCGGUGAAAUGCGUAGAUAUUAGGAAGAACACCAGUGGCGAAGGCGACUUUCUGGACAGUAACUGACGUUGAGGCACGAAAGUGUGGGGAGCAAACAGGAUUAGAUACCCCGGUAGUC
rnacentral:rRNA from 1 species